CUUCCAUAAAGGAAAAAAAAAAAGCGCAAUAAAGCAGGUUGGGAAGAAUAAUGUCAUUCUGUCAGCUACAGGUAUUUACUGCAGGACAGCACAUUCAUUACAUAUGAACCUGCCCCUUGUAGUAUUUCUGUGCUUGCUUGUGCUCUCCCUCACUCUCUCCCUGGCUGAUGUAAGGAACUUAAUUUCAGUUUGCCACCAUAGCAACAGAGAAACAACCCCUGACCACAAUAAGGAGGAUGGUGGCAGUGGUUCACAGAUCCUGAGAUGUUGCAAAGCAACCAGAGUGGAGAGAACAAGUAUACGGGACAUAGAGGAGAAAAAAGUAAGCAACUCCUCUGAACUUCCCUCACACUUUUCAAAAACACAGGAUGCUAGUCUGGCUUUUCUGCUCUUUGGAGUAGCACAUUGGCAAGGCACAGAAUUUAUGAACUAGUGCAUUUCUAAACAAAGAAUCUGGCUGAGUGCUCUGACAGUAAAUUUGCUGUUCCAGGGGCAAACUGCAAUCUUUGAGAGCUUGCUGACCAUCCUGGGGUCAGGGAAAAAUGCCUAAUGUCUCCCUGCUAAGUCACAGCAGAAGGAGGUGAUGAAAAAAGAACAGGAGAAAUUGGGAGCGCUUUAUGAACCAGAGCAUAUACCAUCACAGGAGUUUCACAGGAGCUAAAAGAACAGACUCAUUUAUAUGAUGCACUGCAGUGUUGCGAUGAAAAGUGAAUACAUCACAGCCACAGACAAAGGCAGCUUUUUCCUGAUUAUUUGAAAUGGAAGUCUCAUGACAGUCACUCCCAUGUUAGCAAGACUUCAAAUGCAAAGCACAUUAUGAAGGACUGCUUGGGUCUGUGUCUUCCAAAAACCUACAGUCCAAGGGUGGGUGCACUGCUUCUGUACUCUGAGAAAAUGGCUGAGCCUUCAUGGAAAAUGGGCAGUAGGAGAAUGCACCUGUGGGGCCACAGAUAUGGAACAAAACUACAGAUGAAGUUGCACACCCUCCAAGACUUGAAUAAAGCCAUCAUGGCACAUGGAGGAAAGCAGGUAAGAACCAACAACUUACAUGAGGCCUCUGGCUCUGUUCCUCUAGAUGUUAAAUUACACAACCACUCCAUGAAACCUCAAGAAGACUACUGCUGUUCACUGAUGUUAAUAAGCUGCUAAUAAAAUUAACCUAAUACUGAAACAUAUUCUUAGCAUCAUCUUCCCUAUAAUCUUCCCCUCAUUUCUUUGAAAGUUAUCAGCUAUAGUUCAUUUAUCAUGAUUAAAUUUGUACCUGUUCUAAGGUUUUAAAUGGUGCCAACAUGGUCUCUGUGUCUCUACAUAGGGUGAAUUAUUUCUCAGACACAUUGCUGUAUGGAGAGCAUGGAGAGCUGCUUCCUUUGAAGCCCACAUGGAGCCGGAUUUUGGCUCUCAUAAAGUCUGCUGGAAUUUUGCCAUCAGCAUCAACGGAGCCAGUUCAUGUGUGGAUUUCGUGUCUAUGAACCCUGACAAGGAACAAACCUUCUCAACUUCUAUUCAACUGGAAAAAAGUUUUCAUGCUAACUAGCUGAGGUUUUUUUCUUCCUUGGAUUAGAAAGGGAAGUGUCAGCCAUCCCACACGAUACUCAUCACUCUGGCUCCCAUAUUUCUCAAGUCCUAGUAUAAUAUUCAAAGCAAUUACAUAAUAGUAUUUUGUAUUCUGCAUAACUCAUUGCUAUUAAAACUAAUAAGCUACACCCAUGCCAAUGACAUGGGGUAUUUUUCCUGCA